CAGGGAAUAGUUUAAAUAGAACUUCGGCUUUGGGGGUCGAUAGUGGAGCAAAAGCUUCUUCCUUGA
rnacentral:tRNA from 1 species